rnacentral:misc_RNA from 1 species
GCUCAUUGUGCUCUACAGAUUGUCCGAACGCGCAGACUCCGAAACGCAGGUCUUCUCGCUGACUCGGCUUCUGUUACGCACAAAGCACAAAACCAAAGAACCCUUUACCCGCUUCUUUUAACUCUUCAUUCUCCAAUUCAAUUACCUCAAUUCCUCUUUCAUGGAGAUUCCACGCACAAACCUUACUCUCUCCUUCUUUUUCCUCUGUCUCACUCUAGUCUCUGCCCUCUCCCUGUCCUCCUUCUCCCCUACCGAUAAUCAUCUUAUCAACUGCGGCUCCUCUGUUGACGCUGCUGUUUACAGUCGCCACUUCGUUUCUGAUGACGACUCCUCUAAUCCCAACUCGCCGCUCCUCUCUGCCACCCGGACGAUUCCACUUGCCAACCAAAAACCGGCCCCCAGUUCACACCAAAUCUACAACACGGCUAGGAUUUUCAAGAAACCUUCCAAGUAUGCUUUCGAGAUCAAGGAUCCAGGAACCCACAUGGUACGCCUUCAUUUUUACCCUUUCGUCUCUUCGAAUUUGGACUUAAACUACGCUCAAUUUCACGUUCUGGUUAAUGGGUAUGUCGUUUUGAGCAAUUUUACUGUGGCGAAUGUAGCGACCCCUCUGGUUAAGGAGUAUUUUAUUUGGGUUGAGUCAAAUAAACUUGUUAUUACUUUUUUGCCAACAAGAAGGAAUGAAUUUGGGUUUGUUAAUGCAAUUGAAGUGAUGUCUGCACCUAAAGAUUUGAUUGCUGAUAUGGCAAUUCUUGUGAAUGGCAAUAAAACUGAGAAAUUUGAUGGUUUAACCAAGCAGGCUCUUGAAACAUUGUAUAGGGUGAAUGUCGGGGGUCCAAAAGUGACGCCAUUUAAUGAUACAGUGUGGAGAACUUGGGUUCCCGAUGAUGGGUUCUUUGAAUCAAGUGAAUUGUCGAGCAGGAUCUAUUUCAGUGGUCGAAUUAAGUAUCAAAAUGGAGGUGCUAGUCGGGAAGUUGGUCCUGAUUUUGUAUACAGUACUGCUAGAGUAAUUGCAAGCACAAAUGCUUCGAUCCCUGAUGCAAACAUGACAUGGGAGUUUCCAGUGAUGGAGGGUUAUCAAUACCUUGUUAGAUUGCAUUUCUGUGAUAUUGCUAGCAUGUCGCUUGGUUUGCUGUAUUUUAAUGUGUAUAUCAAUGGGCAUUUGGCAUAUGAAAAUCUGGAUCUUUCCUCUAUUACAUAUAUGCUGGCUUCCCCAUUUUAUGCAGAUUUUGUUGUUGAUAGUGAUGGCUAUGGGUUUUUAAGAGUGAGUGUUGGACCUUCAAACAUGAGCAUGGUACACACAGUUGAUGGUAUCCUGAAUGGAGUGGAGAUCAUGAAGAUGAGUAAUUCAGUGGGUAGUCUUGAUGGGAAAAUGUGUGCAGGGAUGGUAUUGAGAAGUUGGCCAAGAGGGAAUUUUGGUAUUUUGUUUCCUCUAGUUGCUGUUGUGUGUCUGUUGUUGAGCUUAUCCGUGCUUAUGCAUAAGAGGACAGUUGGUACAAGGGAUUCUGUUGCCUGGUCUAAAUUGCCAACUGAUGUCCCAGAAGAUAAUGUAAAGCCUAGCAAUGAAUAUUUAUCUGGCAAAGUUGAUGUUUCUUCAAGAUCAACAGAUUUUUGAAUGAUGCAAAUGGUCAUGCAAUAGUAGGAUGAUGGUGUUCUUAGUUUCUUACUUUGUGCUAUUAAAGGUCAUGGAUGGUUCUAUAACUUCUAAUGUAAAGUCUCUAAUUCUAAAGAGAGCUUAUUGUACUUGGAGUUCGUUGAAGAGGGAAUUUGCAAGUUGUAUUUACAGCAUAUAGUGUAUUGGCAAAUAACCUUGGCGUCUCAUCGUUGUUGUCUUCCUCUGAUAAUGGAUUGCCCGUUACUAUAAAGAGGUUCUUUUCUUACCAUAUCUAUGCUACUUUAGUGUUUGUAUUGUGUGCUAUGAUCUUCUACUUCCAUAUUGUCAAGAUGUUAGGU